rnacentral:rRNA from 1 species
ACGGAGGGGGCUAGCGUUGUUCGGAAUUACUGGGCGUAAAGCGCACGUAGGCGGCUUUGUAAGUUAGAGGUGAAAGCCCAGGGCUUAACCCUGGAAUUGCCUUUAAGACUGCAUCGCUAGAAUCGUGGAGAGGUGAGUGGAAUUCCGAGUGUAGAGGUGAAAUUCGUAGAUGUUCGGAAGAACACCAGUGGCGAAGGCGGCCCGCUGGGCAGGAAGGCUCGCAAGAGCCGGCUGACGCUGAGGCGCGACAGCGUGGGGAGCAAACAGGA